rnacentral:rRNA from 1 species
GGAAUUGUUCGCAAUGGGCGCAAGCCUGACGACGCAACGCCGCGUGGAGGAUGAAGGUUUUCGGAUCGUAAACUCCUGUCGAGCGGGACGAACACCGCGCGGGCGAACAGCCCGUGCGGCUGACGGUACCGCUCACGGAAGCCCCGGCCAACCCCGGGCCAGCAGCCGCGGUAAUACGGGGGGGGGCGAGCGUGGUUCGGAGUUACUGGGCGUAAAGGGCUCGUAGGCGGCCUGCUAAGUCGGUUGUGAAAUCCCCCGGCUCAACCGGGGAACUGCGUCCGAUACUGGCAGGCUUGAAUCCGGGAGAGGGAUGUGGAAUUCCAGGUGUAGCGGUGAAAUGCGUAGAUAUCUGGAGGAACACCGGUGGCGAAGGCGGCAUCCUGGACCGGCAUUGACGCUGAGGAGCGAAAGCCAGGGGAGCAAAC